UACAGAGGGUGCGAGCGUUGUUCGGAAUUAUUGGGCGUAAAGGGCGCGUAGGCGGUGCGGUAAGUCACCUGUGAAAUCUCCUGGCUCAACUGGGAGCUUGCAGGCGAAACUGCCGUGCUGGAGUGUGGGAGAGGUGCGUGGAAUUCCUGGUGUAGCGGUGAAAUGCGUAGAUAUCAGGAGGAACACCGGUGGCGAAGGCGGGUCUCUGGGCCGAUAUUGACGCUGAGGAGCGAAAGCGUGGGGAGCGAACAGG
rnacentral:rRNA from 1 species